CCUACGGGUGGCAGCAGUGGGGAAUAUUGCACAAUGGGGGAAACCCUGAUGCAGCGACGCCGCGUGAGUGAAGAAGGAGUUCGGGAUGUAAAGCUCUAUCAGCAGGGAAGAAGAAAGACGGGACCUGACUAAGAAGCCCCGGCUAACUACGUGCCAGCAGCCGCGGUAAGACGUAGGGGGCAAGCGUUAUCCGGAUUUACUGGGUGUAAAGGGAGCGUAGCCGGCUGUGCAAGUCUGAAGUGAAAGCCCAGGGCUCAACCCUGGGACUGCUUUGGAAACUGUGGAGCUAGAGGGCUGGAGAGGUAAGUGGCAUUCCUAGUGUAGCGGUGAAAUGCGUCGAUAUUAGGAGGAACACCAGUGGCGAAGGCGGCUUACUGGACAGUAACUGACGUUGAGGCUCGAACGCGUGGGGAGCAAACAGGAUCAGAUACCCCUGUAGUC
rnacentral:rRNA from 1 species